CCCGCGGUCUUUUUUACGUCAACGCGGUGGCUCGAGCGGCUGGGGGCGAGGCGGCUGGAGCUUGCAGGGGGCGGAUCUGUGCACGGCAGGGGCUGGGGAGGCGGAUCCAGUGGCGGGCGGCGAGGCAGGGGUCGCCGGUGACGACGAGGAAGGCCGGACCGCGGCUUCCCGGGCGGAUCCAUGGAAGAAAAGAGACAGGGUGGUGAGGAAGAGAAGAUGGGAGAAAAGAGGGCGGUGCGGCGACCCAGGCAUGCUCGCCGGAGCCGGGUGAUGGCAGACGGGCGCGGGAGACGGAGGGAUCCGUCAUGGCAGCGCAAAGUCCUUGUAGUUGGAGGCGGGCCUCCAUGGCCGCGGCGACCCCUCUCCUUCUCUCUGUGGCCGCGGCAGCUCAGGCAGCGGUCAGAUCCGCCCUCCCUCCCUCAUUCCUCGCGCUGGAUAACCUAGCCGCCGGGCCAUGGUGACCGACGGCGAUGAUGACGGUGGUGGCUACCUCGACGACGGCGGCACACACCCAACAUCGCCAUGGACCAGUAGCUCAAGCAUUCUUCUUCCUGAUGGUGAUGGGGUUCCCUCACCAUCUUCAGGUCGUCAUCCUUGAGGCCUUUACCAUCUGCAGUGUCUACAGUGGACUGUUUGCACCUUCUGUGCAAAUACUUGAUUGUAUAGGAAUUGAAUGGAUGGAUAGAUUGCAGGGUCUACAAUGCACCACCUUGAUUUGAUUCGGUCUGGAGCAGCAGCAUCUGCUCCUUCCUUCCUUCUCAACCAUCUGUAUUUACAUUACUACUGUAAGCUUCUGAAAUGUAAAUUAUGCUAGGACAAUUCCUCUUUAGCUUUAACUAUGAUAUUCCUAAAUGCGCAAGUAAAUGCUACUGGGAUUACGACUACAAAAAAAAUUCAUGACAUGCAAGCAAUUCUCGGUUUAAAUACUGUGAGCUUAAAUAACAGGAGCUAAACUGUCGUGCUAUGUUCAGAAUUGGUACUAGAAAAGAUAAUCUAAACUGCACAUUCUGAAAGUAUAUUGGACUCUUGCCCUAGGGAAAUUAGUCUUCUAAGCAUUACUUUGUAAAUAAAUGACAUGAUAACUUGUUGGUUCAGUUUAAAGCUGUAGGCAGAGGCUUGUGGUAGGGGGAAAUCACUGCCAGUUGGAAACUAAAACUUCUAUUUGUGAGUAUGAUCGGGACUGCGCUUUUCUGAAAGUAUGUUAGCCAAUGUUUGGAUAUCUUUCAAUUACUUCUGAACAAGAAAGAUGUAGUGCCAUGCUAAGUUUGGAUGUGGAGUUGCAAUUUAACCUGCUUUGCAGCUCCAUUUUGUCUUGCUACAACAAUAGCUUGCCUCUGUGGUUCAGGGGUCAGGAACUUAGAUGGGCUUGCUCUUCUUUCAUGUAUUAUAUAUGGGGUCCACGCUGCUUAGACUGUCUAAAAGUUAUCUUCAUUUCUACAAGUUUUCUUGUCAAUGAACUUGACGGCUAUUUGGUCAUGUAUUUGACUGCUUGUAUUUUUUAUUUCCUAAUUGUGCACUUAGUCUGCAUAAAAUUCGUUAGCACAUAUUUCCUUGCAAUUAUACUAAAUUUCUGUUUGCAUCCUUUUUCCAUUUUGGUGGAAUGUAGACAUUGCUUAAGAUGUAGUUUGAUAUUUUUCUAGGCGCACGCCAUCAGGCUCUUCCAGUCCAGGGGCAACCAGGCCCGAGUCACCAUCAUUCUGAUGUUGCCACGAUGGGUGGUGGCAGCGGACAGACCAAUGCACCUUGCGGCGAUAUCUACGUUAGGGAGGGUGUUGUUGCCGUCCACCACAAUAACAACCUGUGUUGUGUCGAUUUUAGAUUCUUUGGUGACCAAUUGGACUACAUCCCGCUGAAGGCCGCUUGCUACUUAAAAGCAAUCCUAGGUGAGUGAUCUGUUCUUUGUCAUGUCAUGUAUGUAGUUCCACCGACCUCAUAUUGGAUCGGAGUGUUUUCUACAGGAUUCUUGUGGCGAAUUCUUGAAGAAAAAAAAUCAUUCUUCAAGAUGAUGUUUUUCAAGCUCUGAAUAGUGAUUAUGUUUGUUCUAUAGUAUACCAAAGAUCAUGCUUUUCUUUAUGUCACAGAACCGAUAUGCUCUAAAUACCAAUGGCACUAAACAUCUUAAGGAUAAAAUAGAAGCAAUCUUUAGGAACUGGACAUGUCUGCUCUAUAAGAACCCCUGUGCUUAUACCAUGAUUUUGUCUGUAACCUAGCGUUAGGUGUGCAUGGGUCGUAGCUGCACCUAUAUAAGGAGCAACAGUGGUUAUAUUAAAAGGAUUUUCUUCCUCUAUUCCAUCACCCCUCACGGGUCCCCCACUCCCACACGCUCCCUCCUUACUGCUCCCAUUCAUCCUCUCUCCUGGAUCCCACACCCAUUGUAGCUCAAUCCACGCCGUAGUGUGCAUCUCCAGUUAUUGGUGCUAACAAAAACGCUGCCUCCUCGCCACCGGGCGGCACCAACCGGAUGUUGUCAUGUUGUGUUUGUGUAAAAAUAUAUGGUAAAUAAAAUAUAUUUAUGAACACUUACUGAACAUCCAACGGUGAUAAAUAUAUGUAAUUUCAUUUACAUCACCUGUUUUGAACUGUAUUUUAUAUGCAAUUUCUAUAUCAUGGUGGAACACAAAAUUUGAAUAAAAAAUAAUAGCACUGACCAAUGUAUAUUCUGCAAGUUCAGAUAUAUAUCCAUACUUAACUAAAGUACGUACACUGCAUACUGUGGAAUCACACGGCAAAUAUUCAUGCUUAACUAAAUGCAUCUGCUCCAUUCUGGCAGCAGUGAAUCUCGGGACAGUUCUGUGUGGCCUUGGAUCAAUCCUGAACUGAUUGGUGUUAUCUGCCCAUUCUCUUUACAUGACCCAAUAAAAAUAUUUGUAGCUGCUUUUGCUGAGAUGAAUUGUUUGUUUCACGGAUCCAAGCGUUGUUUUGGCGCUAAACCAAAUCCUGGACCGAAGCCACAUAUGGUCUCUGCUUAAUUGUCUUAUAAGCAGUAGUGCAGCUGAGUUCUGGAAAUCCCACCCUCCUUGCCAGUAGUGAGAUGUGACAAAACUUAUAAAUAGGGAUUAGAAAGGAACAUGUUACUUUGGUUACUUUUAUCUUUAUUUUACGUAAUUUAGCUUAUUGCAACUUUGGUUUUAUGCUGCAGUUGACAAGAUCCUUAAAGUUAGCUGGCAAUCUUCUUCUAUCCAUUUCAUUGUACUAUGUUUUUGAAGCUCCGAUGUUUACUUCAAUUUUUUUUUGAAAUUUGCCAAAAUUUGCAAAUUUUAUUUCCGGAUGCUCGGUCAGGCAAAGCCAACUGUUCAUCACUAUGUACGGUUCUCUUCCAUUUCAUGGUGUGUAACCGAAUAUGGCACAAGACUAUAGUUGUGUCAUUGUGAAAUUUACGGAUGUUGAUGUUUAUUUUCAAUAUAAUAGUAUUGUUUACCAAUUUGGUCCCUUGAUCAUGAACUAAUUUCUCUUUCUAUUCCUUCUAGAUAAUUUGCUUCAGUUCUAGCUACAUGGUGAAACAUGCAUAUUGUUUCCCGAUAUAUUGGGCAUCAGUCCACCUCUCAUGAGAUCUCUGAAUUUUUGAUCCAUAUUGUAUUUGCAGAAUUAUUUCUUCAAGAUAACUAUGCUUGGAUUCACAAAUGCAUGCAAUUGCCUUCAAAUGGAGGUUACUUCUUUACUAAUUAUGUGCUAUUUCACUUUCAAGUUUGGUUCUAGAAGUGUAAUACUUGCUAGGUUAGCUGCAGAAGCGGGAUGUAUAUGGCCUGCAUUUAUAUUUCAGAGUGUAUAAACUGAUUCAGAGUAUUCUGACAUCUGAAACAUUUUGUUGUAUGGUUCUGUCUUGAAAGAACUUAAGUAAUUAUUCUAUGGGAGAGAAUAUAAACGUGAUUCUGAAACAA